UACAGAGGGGGCAAGCGUUGUUCGGAAUUACUGGGCGUAAAGGGCGCGUAGGCGGCCUGUUAAGUCGAACGUGAAAUCCCCGGGCUCAACCCGGGAACUGCGUCCGAUACUGGCAGGCUUGAAUCCGGGAGAGGGAUGCGGAAUUCCAGGUGUAGCGGUGAAAUGCGUAGAUAUCUGGAGGAACACCGGUGGCGAAGGCGGCAUCCUGGACCGAGAUUGACGCUGAGGCGCGAAAGCCAGGGGAGCAAACGGGG
rnacentral:rRNA from 1 species